rnacentral:rRNA from 1 species
UCUGGUUGAUCCUGCCUGAACUGAUGUGUUUAUUUCAAAGAUUAAGCCAUGCAUGUCUAAGUAUAGACGAUUUUAUCGUGAAACCGCGAACGGCUCAUUAAACCAGCUAUAAUCUACUUGAUCUUGACAUAUCUUUACUUGGAUAACUGUGGUAAUUCUAGAGCUAAUACAUGCACAAAUUCUCUGACCACCUAGUGGAACGAGCGCAUUUAUUAGGGCAAAACCAGGCGGCUUCGGUCGUUUUUUGCUGACUCAGAAUAACUCAGCUGAUCGCACGGUCUUAGUACCGGCGACGUGUCUUUUGAGUAUCUGCCUUAUCAAUUUUCGAUGGUAGUGUAUCUGACUACCAUGGUUUUGACGGGUAACGGAGAAUCAGGGUUCGACUCCGGAGAAGGGGCCUGAGAAAUGGCCACUACGUCUAAGGAUGGCAGCAGGCGCGCAAAUUACCCACUCUCGGAAUGAGGAGGUAGUGACGAGAAAUAACGAGACCGUUCUCUUUGAGGCCGGUUAUCGGAAUGGGUACAAUUUAAACCCUUUAACGAGUAUCUAUGAGAGGGCAAGUCUGGUGCCAGCAGCCGCGGUAAUUCCAGCUCUCAAAAUGCAUAGAACCAUUGCUGCGGUUAAAAAGCUCGUAGUUGAAUCUAUGCCUGAGGCUUGGUCCACUCUUUGAGUGCGUACUAGGUUCUUUGGCUUUUCGUCGGUUUUCUUGUCGUGGCCUUUAUUGGUGGCGGCAAGUGGCUGACAAUUUUACUUUGAACAAAUCAGAGUGCUUAAAACAGGCGUCUUGCUUGUAUGCUUUUGCAUAGAAUAAUGGAACACGACUUCGGUCUAGUUUUAUUGGUUUUAUAGAUCGUUGUAAUGAUUAAAAGAGACAAACGGGGGCAUUCGUAUUGUUGCGUGAGAGGUGAAAUUCUAGGACCGCAGCAAGACGACCUACAGCGAAAGCAUUUGCCAAGCUUGUCUUCAUUAAUCAAGAACGAAAGUCAGAGGAUCGAAGGUGAUCAGAUACCGCCCUAGUUCUGACCGUAAACGAUGCCAACUAGCGAUUCGCCGGCGGAUUAUUUGCCCUGGCGAGGAGCUUCCCGGAAACGAAAGUCUUCCGGUUCCGGGGGAAGUAUGGUUGCAAAGCUGAAACUUAAAGGAAUUGACGGAAGGGCACCACCAGGAGUGGAGCCUGCGGCUUAAUUUGACUCAACACGGGAAAACUCACCCGGCCCGGACACUAUAAGGAUUGACAGAUUGAUAGCUCUUUCAUGAUUUGGUGGAUGGUGGUGCAUGGCCGUUCUUAGUUCGUGGAGUGAUUUGUCUGGUUUAUUCCGAUAACGAGCGAGACUCUAGCCUAUUAAAUAGUCUGCUCAUUGGUCUGUGUGGCAGUACUUCCUAGAGGAAUUUUCGGUGUUUAACCGCAUGAANACAGGCGGCUUCUAGCCGCACGAGAUUGAGGAAUAACAGGUCUGUGAUGCCCUUAGAUGUCCGGGGCUGCACGCGCGCUACACUGGUAAAGUCAGCGUGCGUCUCCUUUCUCGAAAGAGAUUGGUAAACCAGUGAACGUUUGCCGUGAUAGGGAUCGGAAAUUGCAAUUAUUUUCUGUGAACGAGGAAUUCCAAGUAAAUGUGAGUCAUCAACUCGCGUUGAUUACGUCCCUGCCCUUUGUACACACCGCCCGUCGCUGCCCGGGACUGAGCCAUUUCGAGAAAAUUGGGGAUUGCUGACUGACGGUCCCUCGGAUUGUCUUUUGGUGAAAACCAGCUUAAUCGUAGUGGCUUGAACCGGGCAAAAGUCGUAACAAGGUGGCUGUAGGUGAACCUGCUGCCG